rfam:Salmo salar isolate Sally breed double haploid chromosome ssa04, whole genome shotgun sequence.
CAGUGCAGUCAUCCAUAAAGUAGAAAGCACUACUAAACUCCUCGCCACAGUGUAGUGUUUCCUACUUUAUGGAUGAGUGUACUGU